AUUGUAGAAAAUCACAUUUGGAAUCUUCAGCUGAGGACAAAGGAACAAGCUGGAUGAAGCACUCAGGGCUCCCGAGUGGCACAGUGGUCUGAGGCACUGCAUCUCAGUGCUAGAGGUGUCACUACAGACCCUGUUUAUUUUAUUUUAUUUCACCUUUAUUUAACCAGAUGGAAAGAACAGGCUGUUGUAGCCUCCCAACAGGUCGAUGCAUUGGCGAACCUGAGUCACCUGGGCCGAAACUGACUGGGCAUUCCUAACUUACUGUUCCUAACUCUGGUAAGGUUGGGGCCUGGGUCGAUGUACUUGAAGGAGCAGCCUCCUCAGCUGCUCCUUCAAUCUGACUACGGUUGGGUACACAACAGCCCCAAGUUUCUGUGCAAAGCUCCUCCCACCACUAAAGGAACCUCCAGCAUGAGCACCAUUUUGGAGGCACUACCAGACGUUGGCUCAACUGCCAGUGACAUGGCUUUCGAAUGGUCGCUCAACAAGAAACACUCAGACUUUAUCCCCAAUGAUUUACAUAUACAUUUAGUCAUUCCGCAGACGCUCUUAUCCAGAGCGACUUACAGAUUCUCCUUGGUACAUACCUAAAUUAAUACUUUGAGACGGCCCCCAAGUAGAUGAUGAAGUACUUGCAGGCAGUUGUCCUUCCCCAGCCAGUCAAUCAUGGAGGGGAAGACCAAGCUUCCACUGCCCUAUAACUACCUGAACCCUGCUGAGAUGGAGAAUAGUGUGACCAUAUGAGAUCUACGGUUCCACAGAGAAUGUUUAUCACAAUGUACCCAGGUUGCACCCAGAGCUAUGCAAUUAAUAAUAGUAGUAAUAAUAAUAGCAAUAAUAGUAAUAAUAAUAAUAAUAAUAGUAGUAAUAAUAGUAAUAAUAAUAGUAAUAAUAAUAGUAAUACUAAUAAUAGUAGAAGUUGUAAUAACAAUAAUGACCUUUUUGGCGAGAUAAGGAAUCUAAAAUGACACAAUUUUGCCAUCUUGCCAUGGCUUCAGUAAUACCAAUGACCAUGUUUUCUUGCCCUUCCUCUUAUGCUGAAAUGAAGGAGAGAAGUAGAAGGUUCUCAACCAAAGUGAGACGAGGUGCAACCAAAAACUUAUGACUGUUUUUUUAUGACACACACUUCUGCAAAUUUUGUCUGAUUCAAUGACCACAAUAAGCAGUGUCUAUCCUCAGUAAUUGUUUUAUUAAAUGUAUGUAAAGUUGUCUCCGGUUGGAGCAGCAUAAAAUCUGUAUUUUAAUGGAAAAUAAAUUCGAUAAAGCAAUCAAUGAAGCUUUAUUGUUAUGAGAAAAUAAGAAAAAACAGACAACAUCCACAGAAAGAGCUGGAUGAAAACAAGAAAGGCAUAUGGCUCUGUAAAAAGUAAUGGACUAUAUAGUUUGGGAAACAGCCAUAAAUCUACAUCAUUUUGAUAGUAACCCCAUAAUGUACUGUACAUGGGCAGAUAAAAAAAUAUAUACUCUAGGAAUUAUACAGAAGAUGGGAAGGAUGUGAAUGUGGCUUGAUAUUGAUAAUACGCAGGAGUGAAAAUGCAAGACGGUGAAAAGAGAUGUUAUCGUAGGCUGUGUGUGACUGAGAGAGAAAGAGAAAGGACACCCCUCUUAGCCCAGCCAGAGACAGAAAACACUAUCCUCCUUUUGUCCGAGAUAGGAGGACUAGACUAGACAGGGGGUGGAUGCUUAAACGUUCCACCUCUUUGAACAACCAAGUAUUUCUCGAUGCUUAGAACAUGUGCGCGUUACGCAGCAUCUGAAAAUGAACAAUGCGUUUAUGAGAUUCACUAAAUAAAGGAUUUAAAAUACCGAAACCUCAGAUUUAUGAAG
rnacentral:lncRNA from 13 species